UUUUUGGUGACCACUACGGUUUCUUAACACAUGCAAGUCGAGGGGUAACAUUGGUGCUUGCACCACAUGACGACCGGCGCACGGGUGAGUAACGCGUUUACAAUCUACCUAUUACUGGGGUAUAGCCCGGAGAAAUUUGGAUUAACCCCCCAUGGUAUGUAAAAGUGGCAUCACUUUUACAUUAAAAUUACCGGUGGUAAUAGAUGAGUAUGCUUUCUAUUAGUUAGUUGGUAAGGUAACGGCUUACCAAGGCAGCGAUGGGUAGGGGUCCUGAGAGGGAGAUCCCCCACACUGGUACUGAGACACGGACCAGACUCCUACGGGAGGCAGCAGUGAGGAAUAUUGGACAAUGGAGGCAACUCUGAUCCAGCCAUGCCGCGUGCAGGAAGACUGCCCUAUGGGUUGUAAACUGCUUUUACAGAGGAAGAACCGCACCCACGUGUGGGUGUUUGACGGUACUCUGCGAAUAAGGAUCGGCUAACUCCGUGCCAGCAGCCGCGGUAAUCCGAGGAUCCAAGCGUUAUCCGGAAUCAUUGGGUUUAAAGGGUCCGUAGCCGGACAUAAGUCAGUGGUGAAAGUUUGCACUCAACUGUAGAACUGCAUUGAAACUGUAGUCCUUGAGUAUUUAUAAAUGG
rnacentral:rRNA from 1 species